rnacentral:lncRNA from 1 species
GGGGAAUAUAGUGAAAGAAAAACUAGAACUAACCAAUAGGGGUUGAAUAUCAUGGUUAAUAACAUUCAAAAUCGUGGUUAGUUGUGUUCAAUGGAUGACUAUUGAGUUGCGGCAUAUUUUUAUCUUCAUCAACCAUCCACUGAACGUAAUUAACCAGAUAUAUGAACCGUGUUAACCAUAUGAAUUGCUUUCGGAAAUUGUUGUCCAAUUUUGUUUCAAAUAACCCAUUUCUAAUACAAGGGUGAUGUAUUCAUCUAUGAUGAAAAGAUU